GACAGAGGGUGCAAACGUUGUUCGGAUUUACUGGGCGUAAAGCGCGUGUAGGCGGCUUUGCAAGUCGGAUGUGAAAGCCCACGGCUCAACCGUGGAAGUGCAUCCGAAACUGCAUGGCUGGAGUCUCGGAGAGGAAGGUGGAAUGCUUGGUGUAGAGGUGAAAUUCGUAGAUAUCAAGCAGAACACCUGCGGCGAAGGCGGCCUCCUGGACGAUGACUGACGCUGAGACGCGAAAGCGUGGGGAGCAAACAGG
rnacentral:rRNA from 1 species